CGCGUAGGCGGGCCGCCAAGUCGGAUGUGAAAAACUGUCGGCUUAACUGACAGCCUGCAUUCGAUACUGGCGGUCUUGAGUACAGGAGAGGAGAGCGGAAUUCCAGGUGUAGCGGUGAAAUGCGUAGAUAUCUGGAAGAACACCGGUAGCGAAGGCGGCUCUCUGGCCUGAUACUGACGCUCAAGCGCGAAGGCUUGGGUAGCAAACA
rnacentral:rRNA from 1 species